rnacentral:rRNA from 1 species
GAUGAACGCUGGCGGCGUGCUUAACACAUGCAAGUCGAACGGUGAAGCCCCUCUUGCUGGGUGGAUUCGUGGCAAGGGGGUGUGUAACACGUGAGUAACCUGCUCUUCACUCUGAGAUAAGCCUGGAACACUGGGUCUAAUCCCGGAUAGGCGUGUCUACCGCAUGGUGGGGGUUGGAGAGUUUUAUCGGUUGUGGAGGGACUCGUGGCCUCUCAGCUUGUUUGUGGGGUAAUGGCUCACCAAGGCGACGACGGAUAGCCGGCCUGAGAGGGUGACCGACCACACUGGGACUGAGACACGGACCGGACACCUACGGGAGGCAGGAGGGAGGAAGGUAGAACGAGGGGCGCAAGCCUGAUGCAGCGAGGCAGGGUGAGUGAUGGAGGCCGGCGGUUGGGAAGCCUCUUUCAGUAGGGAAGGAGCGAUAGUGACGGUACCGGCAGAAGAAGCACCGGCUAACUACGUG